rnacentral:rRNA from 1 species
AGUGAACGCUGGCGGUAGGCCUAACACAUGCAAGUCGAACGGCAGCACAGUAAGAGCUUGCUCUUACGGGUGGCGAGUGGCGGACGGGUGAGGAAUACAUCGGAAUCUACUUUUUCGUGGGGGAUAACGUAGGGAAACUACGCCAAUAACGCAUACGAACCACGGGGGAAAACAGGGGAUCCUUGGGACUUGCGCGGAUGAAUGAGCCGAUGUCGGAUUAGCUAGUUGGCGGGGGAAAGGCCCACCAAGGCGACGAUCCGUAGCUGGUCUGAGAGGAUGAUCAGCCACACUGGAACUGAGACACGGUCCAGACUCCUACGGGAGGCAGCAGUGGGGAAUAUUGGACAAUGGGCGCAAGCCUGAUCCAGCCAUACCGCGUGGGUGAAGAAGGCCUUCGGGUUGUAAAGCCCUUUUGUUGGGAAAGAAAAGCAGCAGGUUAAUACCCCGCUGCUCUGACGGUACCCAAAGAAUAAGCACCGGCUAACUUCGUG